rnacentral:rRNA from 1 species
GGCUCAGAUUGAACGCUGGCGGCAGGCCUAACACAUGCAAGUCGAGCGGGGUUUUCGGACCUAGCGGCGGACGGGUGAGUAAUGCGUAGGAAGCUACCCGAUAGAGGGGGAUACCAGUUGGAAACGACUGUUAAUACCGCAUAAUGUCUACGGACCAAAGUGUGGGACCUUCGGGCCACAUGCUAUCGGAUGCGCCUACGUGGGAUUAGCUAGUUGGUGAGGUAAUGGCUCACCAAGGCGACGAUCUCUAGCUGGUUUGAGAGGAUGAUCAGCCACACUGGAACUGAGACACGGUCCAGACUCCUACGGGAGGCAGCAGUGGGGAAUAUUGGACAAUGGGCGCAAGCCUGAUCCAGCCAUGCCGCGUGUGUGAAGAAGGCCUUCGGGUUGUAAAGCACUUUCAGCGAGGAGGAAGGGGUAGGUGUUAAUAGCAUCUACUUUUGACGUUACUCGCAGAAGAAGCACCGGCUAACUCUGUGCCAGCAGCCGCGGUAAUACAGAGGGUGCAAGCGUUAAUCGGAAUUACUGGGCGUAAAGCGCACGCAGGCGGUUGGUUAAGUCAGAUGUGAAAGCCCCGGGCUCAACCU